GACGAACGCUGGCGGCGUGCUUAACACAUGCGAGUCGAGCGAUAAAGCACCUUCGGGUGUGAGUACAGCGGCGAACGGGUGAGUAACACGUGGGCAACCUGCCCCAGAGACUGGGAUAACGUCCCGAAAGGGACGCUAAUACCGGGUGAUGCGUGACCUGCCAAGUGGGUCACGCCAAAUGGUAGCUUCGGCUUCUGCUCUGGGAUGGGCCCGCGCCGGAUUAGCUUGUUGGGGAGGUAACGGCUCACCAAGGCGACGAUCCGUAGCUGGUCUGAGAGAACGGUCAGCCGCACGGGGAUUGGGACACGGCCCAGACUCCUACGGGAGGCAGCAGUGGGGAAUCUUGCGCAAUGGGCGAAAGCCUGACGCAGCAACGCCGCGGGAGCGAAGACGGCCUUCGGGUUGUAAAGCUCUGUCAGGAGGGACGAAGCCACUCAGGUGAAUAGCCGAGAGGGUGACGGUACCUCCAGAGGAAGCCCCGGCUAACUACGUGCCAGCAGCCGCCGUAA
rnacentral:rRNA from 1 species